rnacentral:rRNA from 1 species
GACGAACGCUGGCGGCGUGCUUAACACAUGCAAGUCGAACGGAAAGGCCCUGCUGUUGUGGGGUGCUCGAGUGGCGAACGGGUGAGUAACACGUGAGUAACCUGCCCUUGACUUUGGGAUAACUUCAGGAAACUGGGGCUAAUACCGGAUAGGAGCUCCUGCUGCAUGGUGGGGGUUGGAAAGUUUCGGCGGGUGGGGAUGGACUCGCGGCUUAUCAGCUUGUUGGUGGGGUAGUGGCUUACCAAGGCUUUGACGGGUAGCCGGCCUGAGAGGGUGACCGGCCACAUUGGGCCUGAGAUACGGCCCAGACUCCUACGGGAGGCAGCAGUGGGGAAUAUUGCACAAUGGGCGGAAGCCUGAUGCAGCAACGCCGCGUGCGGGAUGACGGCCUUCGGGUUGUAAACCGCUUUCGCCUGUGACGAAGCGUGAGUGACGGUAAUGGGUAAAGAAGCACCGGCUAACUACGUG